UUCUUCCCAGCAUAAUCAUUAGUUGCUACGUGUUAUUCUCAUACUUUUUGGCAUUAUUAUUUACGACGCAAUUAGUUAUGAUUCCUCUGUGAGGCUGAGAGUCCCUCCAGGGCACAAGUGUGUGACUUUGGAGGUAUUGCAGCUAUCUCGGGAUAUGAGGCAACCGCGAACGUGAAAACACAUGUUAAACAUGGCAGAAUGGAUAGCUGGAUUUCUGGGCCCCUGAUACUUCUCUGUCAUGCUGGGCAUUAUAUAUUUGUAUUUUGUUAUCUGAGAAAAAGGUAAAAACUGAGCUUGUUUUAAAAAACUUCUGAUCCUUGUGGUUAAAUACAAUCCUUAACUAAUAGACAUUGUCUUUACCAUUCUGCUGGUGGAAAAGUAAGUUCACAUUCCUGGAGCCCACCUGAAUGGUGGGUAACACAGGCGCAGCCAGAAGAGCGGACUGCUGGGUGCAACCUGGCCCGUAGAUGGUCACACCUGAGCCAGCAGGGCUGACUGCUGCCAGGGUUCGUAACGUCUGAUUACCCUAGAUCUUCAGACCAUAGGCAGAGUGUCACUGGAGGCACCCAAUGUACAGUAGCACCCGUGACCUCCGAGGAAAGUCCUCAGUAUUAGCGCAGCUCUGCAGAGGUGCCGGCCCCGGCCCCAGGUAGUCUGUGCAGCCUGAUCUCCUUCAUAGCGUACAGCACAGCGGGGGUUGCACUGCAGCUCCCUGGCCAGGCACACUCUUCUCCCAUUCUCUGCUUACUGACAUCUUCCUUGUGCUUCAAGAGCAGAUCGGAUGACGGUGCCUCUAUCUUCCCAGACAUGCUUUAUGGUUUUUGUCAUCAACUCCCUGGACCUGCUGCCUGACCUUGGCGUGCUCCCUGUGCUUAGGUUUGGUUGGUCACCCCCUCACCACCCUGGCAACCUCCUUGCGAACACGGGUGGUCUAAGGUUUGGUAUCCUUAGUGCCACCACAUCCUUCCCUGGCUCCUCCCUCGAACGCUCACACUCUCACAAUACCCCCUCACCCUUCACACUGGUUUAUUUUCUCAGUAGCGUGCACCAACGUCUACCACGCAUCCUCUGUACUUAUUGGCUUUGUUUCUUUUCUUUUCUUUUUUUUUUUUUUGUACCGGGAAUUGAACUCAUGACUUCAGGCUUGCCAGGCAAGCGCUUAUGUCACUGAGCUAUAUCCCCGGCUUGGCUUUGUUUCUUGUCUACUGCCCUCAACCCCAGCAGAAAACGAGGACAGGGACUGCUGCCUGUCCUGUCCCCGGCUGAAUCUCCAGCUCCUAGCUCUGAGCUUGGCACAUGGUGAGUGUCCAACAAAUAGGUCCUGGCUGAAUGCACCAGCCAGUAAUGAUCGCAUGCGAGGUGGCUUUUGUAGGCAGGGCAGUGGGACUAAGAUGAUAAUAUUUGUUAAAUCAUAUUGCCCCGAAGGCUCCCCUUGCCUUCCCGUAAGCCCCUAAUUACUGAGUCUGGGCCACUUUAAUCACGGUCUCUGCCCCACCAUUAGUCAUCACCCCAUGCCACCAGCUUCCUCCCUCGCCUUGAAGCCCAGAGCCUCCUUUGCCAUCAUCUCCAAUUAUAUGUACUGGAUGCUGCUUAGAGGAACAUCUGAUGAGCACACAGAUCCCGGCUAUUGUCCAUCUGCACGAUGACCGACGUUUCGGAGAUCUGAGACUGCAGCAGCGCGAUCUCCUGGGGAGAA